UCUAUCCAAACUUCUAACUGUCAUUUAACUGUCAUUGUACAAGUAAAGCUCCUGUGAGGUCCCCAAAUCAAUGUACUUCUGCAGUCAUAAGAAGCUCAAAUUUGCCACAUAAGACCUCAAUAGCCAUCAUAUAAGUUUGAUACAUUGAGAGAUCAUCAACAUGAAGAUUUUCAGCAAGCUGUCAAAAACCCAAGACUAGACUUCAUGGGAGAGCAGCAGAGGACCCUAAAGAGACUACACUCUUGAAAACCAGCAGAUGAUAACAGAGAGCAGCUGAGAGACCAUCCAGAGAUGGAGUGGAGAAUACUGGUACUAAGCCUAGCCCAGUAAAGAGGCCUCAGUACCCAGGAGAAAUGUAAUGUGUAUCAGAGAGCUCCAAGAUAAAGCAGUGCCCAGCAUUAGAAAAUAGCACAGAAACAUUUCCAGACAACCUGGAUCUUCACUGCAAGAGAUUUGGUUCAACACAAGCUGUUCACUUGAAGCACCGAUUGAAUCUCAGCAUCCAUUCCUACUGUGGCUAGAUCAGAGCAAGAGGAAGCUCAUCCCUGGGGUCCCUGAGUGCUGGUGAAAAUCCUGAAGUUAAUAUGUAGAACAGGACUCUGAUGGAAACCCAUGUGCCAGUGGACAGCUUGGAAAGAAUGUUCUUUAUGAAGGUUUGAUGAAGAUGAAUCAGUCAAAUAAAAACAUUUCUGACUAGCAGCAACAUUUGUCCUCAGGUAAAGGAGCAGAGUUGUGAACACCACCAGAACCCAGACCACCUAGCAUGAAAUGACCAACAGAUGACUCCACCACAUACCCCUCCCUGCUCCCAGCCCAGCCCAGCCUUCUCUGAAAUCUCAGAAGGAAGAAAUUCAGAAAGUAUUUUUUUAGAUGUAAUAGGGAACAUGCCCACCAUCCCCAGGGUGUCUGCUUCAAAGUAGCUAAUGCCUGGGCUGUUGUCAACUGGCCCUCACUACCAGGGCACCAGAUGGGCUGCUGGGAUUCUAGGGGUGAGAAAAGAAGCCAAGAUGGAUUCGUCUUCUUAACAUCCCCUUAUUGAAUACAGACAGAGAUUGUGACUGAUUGAUUGAGCACUCCAUGUGCUGCCCUCCUGCCACCACGUCUGCUUUGAUGUAGGAUCCUUCAUUAUGAUUGUUUUGUCACCCACUCAAUCCUGAGGAUUAGAGCAGGGAUGUAGCUCCUGGAAACCUUGAGAUUAAGAGAGAAUUCUGUGUCAGGUGCUCUCUUCACACUGGAUGCCAUGGGACAUACCAUAGAUUCCCUCACCAGAGAUUGCUACCAUGCCUAUUGUGUCUGUUUCAAAGCGUGUGGUAUAUGGGGGUUGUUCACACUUCUCCCUCCCUGCCAGGUCAGAUUGGGGAGAGACUGACUUACUAGAUUCCUCAGCCCAAUGGAUACAUAAAAGAAAAAGUCUGGUCUGGAACCUACCCAGCUCCCUCUGUUCCCCUCACCAGAUCUCCGCUAAUCCUAUGAUGUCAGCUUCAAAGAGGGAGCCUCUGAACAGUUGGUUACUGAUAGUGAGAUGGAGAGUGAGAUUGAUGUCCUGCAUCCUCAGAGUCAGGCCCCAGGUGACAUUCCUGUUGCUGCUGAUCAUGACCUGAUUGGCAAGAUGAAGAUGAUAUGGCUCUGAACUUUAGCAACACUCUUGUUGUUGAUCCCUUGUCACCCUGAGUGCUGACCACAGCUGGAUUCGGGACACUGGAGGCUGGGCUCUGCAAGCUGAAGGAGGAUGAUCUGAUAGAGGGAGAGAUGGAAUACUCCCCAGCACCUCCCUUCCUUUUUUCCUAACACUCCAAGACAGGUUACUCCCCAGAACCCCUAGCUGCCAGGCCAGGGAAGGUGGACCCCUCUAAGAACCAUCCUUCAUCUGACUGUCCCCAGAGGGUGGGUGAAGGGGUCUGAGGUUUCUGUGUGGAAAGGGACAAAGAAACACAUGUAUCUAUAUGCUUCUUAGGAUGAAUGAUCCUUAUAAUUGAUCCUUAUGAGGAAAUGAAGGAAUCAAAUAAAGCAUUUGUUUCCUGGGGAAGAAGGAAGAGAGCUGUGAAUGAUUGCCAUGAGAAGCAGAUGGAAUUUACGACCGGCUUCCCCUCCACCCAACCCCACCACAUGAUAUCCCUUUCUCAGCCUCUGCCAGAGCCCAGAAGAAAGAGAUCUGGCAUACAUCCCACAAGAGCCAUGGGAAUAUGGCUGAUGCCUAUGUGAAAACUGGGACCUUGUCCAUUGUCCCCAUGAUAUCUCCUUCAAAGUAGCUAAUCCCUGGACUGUUUCUCCUUUCCCCGCAGUGCUAGGGUACCAGAGUGGCUGCUGGGCCUCUGAAGAUGUGUCGAGACCAUUCUUGGUUGUUCCCCUUAGGCAAGCCAAAUACAGAACAGAGACUGUAACUUGCUGGGUUUCCAUGAGCUGCCCUCAUGAGAUUCUGUCUGCUUAGAUCUAGUUCCAUUCUGUCUGGAAUGCUUUCCCACCCUCUCAGUGCAUUUGCAAGUACAUAGCUGACUGAAAUCUUGACAUUAGGAGACAGGCUUUUGUCAGCUGCUUUACUCAGACUCUGGGGGAUAGAAAUUCAAUAGAACCCAGAUCCCUGCAUCUUUCUGAUGUCUGCUUUAAACAGGGAGUAUUUAAACAGCGGCUUACUACCAGAGUGGGAAGGAGAGAGAGACUGACUGCUUACAUACCGGAGGCAAGGCUCUUCUUGAAGCAGUUGACCAUGGCCUUAUUGACAAAAUAAAGAUGGCAUGGCUCUGGACUUUACGAACAAGUGUAUUUGGUGGUGUUCCCUCCUGUUGUUGAUCCUGGGCUACUAUGGCCACUGAUCAAAGCUGGGUUCUAGAAACUGUGGGCUGGGCCCUCCAGUCUGAAGGAGGACGGUCAGUAGAUGGAUGGAUAAACAAAGGAGGUCUUCAAGAUCUCUCCUUUCUUUUCCCCUAAUCAGGCCUCCAAUACCCUUCCAAGAUAGGCUGCUUCCCCAGAAACACUGACUGAAGCCCUCUGCAUUUUCACCCUAUGCAAAGGGAGGAAGGUUCCAACCGAGGACAAUCCAUUACCUGUGUGACCUCUGAGAGUGGGUGUGGUUUCUGUUAGGAGAGGGAGACAUAUGUACCAUUGGACAUUUUAGGGGAAUGAUCCUUAGGAAGGACUAAGGAAAAUGCACCAAGUAAAGUAUUCCUGACUAGUAGCAGCAUUUGACUUCAGUAAGAUAAAUAGAACUGUGAACAGUGUUGGGACCUAAAUCACUUUGACAGGUAUGUGAAGCAGAUGGAGUUUACAACCUGCCACCCCUGCUCCCAACUUCAUCACAGGAUGACCCCUUCACAGUGUCCACUCAAAAUCUCAGAAGAAAUAGAUUUGGCAAACAGACUUCAAGGGCAUUGUGAAACAAAUGCCCAAUUAGAGACAAGGAUUUUGUCCAUCAUCCCCAGGAUGUCUGCUUCAAAGUAGCUAAUGCCUGAACUGUUCCUUAUUCCCCUCAGUGCAAGGGCACUAAGGUGGCUGUUGGGACCCUGGAGAUGUGUAACCAGGCCAGUCUUGAUUGGUCAUCUUCAUAUACUCAUACAGGGCAGAGGCAAGGAUUUGAUGGAGACUCUAUGUGCUGUCCUCACGAGAUCUCUACAUAAACCUCUUAAUUUAGUCAUCUUCAGUCUCAAUUGUUUUUCCAUACUCCCAGCCUCCAAGACCAGAUCAAGGAAGUACUUGCUGGGAACCUUGAGAUUAGGAGAAAUGGGUCUCUCAGUUACUCUCCUCGGACUAUGUGGAAUGGAAACUUCCUUUCCUACCUUCUCAAGAGUUAUGCUCAUCGUGUCUGUUUGAAAGCAUUGUGUCUGGGCUAUUCAGCCUUACCCUUCCCUAUCUGGUCAAGUUGGGAAAAGACUGAUCUCCUGAAUCCUUAUAAAAAAGAAACUCUUGACUUGGGGUCUUCCUCUUUCUUCCACAUUUACCAGGUCCCUGCAAUCCUCAUGAGCCAGUCUCUUACCAGUUGCUAACUAUACAGAUGGGAUGGAGACAAACUGUCCACUAAAUCUUCAGGGCCAGAUCUGCUCUGGGGCUGUUGAUGCUGUUCUGCCCACUGCUUUGAUAGUCCAUUUUCCCUUCCUGGUCUUAUUUCCAUCUUCUGUAUGUAAAAAAAAACAAUUAAAGUUAGCUGGGAAGUUUGUCGUGUAUUCAUGAUAUUGAAGAAGACAUGACCAUCUUUUUUUCCAAUAUUUUAUUUUUCCAAAUACAUGUAAAAAUAAUCUUCAA